UGCCAAGGUUGUAUCUUAGGGUA
rnacentral:siRNA from 1 species